rnacentral:rRNA from 1 species
AGAGUUUGAUCCUGGCUCAGGAUGAACGCUAGCGGUGCGCCUAACACAUGCAAGUCGAGCGAUAUAGCGGCGAAUGGGUGAGUAACACGUUGGAACCUGCCCCGGACUCAGGGAUAGCCCGCCGAAAGGCGGAUUAAUACCGGAUAGUCCCGCAAGGGUAAAGCUUUUGCGGUCCGGGAGGGGCCUGCGCAGUAUCAGCUUGUUGGUAGUGUAAUAGACUACCAAGGCUACGACGCUUAACUGGUCUGAGAGGAUGAUCAGUCACAAUGGAACUGAGACACGGUCCAUACUCCUACGGGAGGCAGCAGUGAGGAAUCUUCCGCAAUGGGCGAAAGCCUGACGGAGCGACACCGCGUGAAGGAUGAAGGCCUUUUGGUUGUAAACUUCUUUUCUGGGGGAAUAAAUGAUGAAGGUACCCCAGGAAUAAGCACCGGCUAACUACGUGCCAGCAGCCGCGGUAAUACGUAGGGUGCAAGCGUUAUCCGGAAUUAUUGGGCGUAAAGCGUGCGUAGGCUGUCUGAUAAGUUUGUAGUUAAAUCUGGUCGCUCAACGAUCAACUCGCUACAAAAACUGCCAGACUAGAGAAUGACAGAGGCAACUAGAAUUCUGCAUGUAGGGGUAAAAUCCGUUGAUAUGCAGAGGAAUACCAAAAGCGAAGGCAGGUUGCUGGGUCAUUUCUGACGCUGUUGCACGAAAGCGUGGGUAGCGAACAGGAUUAGAUACCCUGGUAGUCCACGCCGUAAACGAUGGAUACUCGGUUUGAGAGGGACUCGACCCCCUUUUGAGCCCAAGCUAACGCGUUAAGUAUCCCGCCUGGGGAGUACGGUCGCAAGAUUA